AUUGAACGCUGGCGGCAUGCCUUACACAUGCAAGUCGAACGGUAACGGGCCUUCGGGUGCCGACGAGUGGCGAGCGGGUGAGUAAUACAUCGGAACGUGCCCGAUCGUGGGGGAUAACGAGGCGAAAGCUUUGCUAAUACCGCAUACGAUCUACGGAUGAAAGCAGGGGACCGCAAGGCCUUGCGCGGACGGAGCGGCCGAUGGCAGAUUAGGUAGUUGGUGGGAUAAAAGCUUACCAAGCCGACGAUCUGUAGCUGGUCUGAGAGGAUGAUCAGCCACACUGGGACUGAGACACGGCCCAGACUCCUACGGGAGGCAGCAGUGGGGAAUUUUGGACAAUGGGCGCAAGCCUGAUCCAGCCAUGCCGCGUGCAGGAUGAAGGCCUUCGGGUUGUAAACUGCUUUUGUACGGAACGAAAAGCCUUCUUUUAAUACAGGAGGGUCAUGACGGCACCGUAAGAAUAAGCACCGGCUAACUACGUG
rnacentral:rRNA from 1 species